UACGGAGGGUGCGAGCGUUGUCCGGCAUCACUGGGCGUAAAGGGCGCGUAGGCGGCUUGAUAAGCGUGCGGUGAAAGCCCGGGGCUCAACCCCGGGUCGGCCGUGCGAACUGUCGAGCUGGAGCACUGUAGAGGCAGGUGGAAUUCCGGGUGUAGCGGUGGAAUGCGUAGAGAUCCGGAAGAACACCGGUGGCGAAGGCGGCCUGCUGGGCAGUGGCUGACGCUGAGGCGCGACAGCGUGGGGAGCAAACAGG
rnacentral:rRNA from 1 species